AGCCUGGCCGACCGCCACCUUCCUCCUCCUCCUCCUCCUCCUCCUCCUCCUCCUCUUCUUCCAAGGGCUCCUGGAGGGAGUGGAAAGCCGGCACCUCUCUCCGCCAUCCCUGAGGCAGCUGAGCCUCCCUGACCCAACCAAAGGUGUUUGUUCAGCAGGACUGCGCGCAGAGCAAUGAGAGCGGGGCUCGCACAAAGGGACAGACUUAUUAGACUUGCUGAGAACCCCGUGGAACGGCGCUUUGUGGAUUGAUUCUUCAUCGAGAGAUCCAAGCUGAGUAUCCACGAAGACCUUAACAACGUCGAAAGUAGCCUACUUUAAGAGGAAAUAUGCAGAAGAGGAAGAUUUACAUCCAGAUUACCAGGGUUAUUUUCCAAAACACCUGAUAUUGCCCGAAGAUCGAACUUGUAUUUUGAAACUAUCUCUGCAGAAGCUUCAGUUUCUUGACGAUCCUGAAGUCUAUCUCCGCCGGUCGGUGUUGAUCAACAACUUGCUGAGGAAGAUUCACCUGGAAACGGAGCGCGAACGCUAUGAAUACUUUAAGGGAACCCCAUGCUAUAGGACUGCCUACUCUGACGCGAGAAAACGGCUGAAGUUCAUGGUACAAGAAUGCCGCGCACAGUCCCUUUAUUACGAAGAGCUCCGUUCGUAUCAUAUCGUGCCUUAUCCAACAGAGAGUGCCAUUUAUGGAGUGGGCUACUCAAGUGGUCAUUUGGAGCAAAAUCCACCGUUGCUUAUUUAUAAAAUGAAGUGAGGUAGCUUUUUCGAAGCUGCAGAUUGUUUUCGUUCCUGAAUGUCGGAGAGGGCUUGCUAGCAUGGCCGGAAGGGGAGGUCCAAGGUGCCAGUAACUUUCAGCUCUACUGGGGAAUGCCUUGGAGAUAGUAUUUCAUCCCCCAGGAAUCUGUAUUACUGCAGAAGGAACUUGGUGCCCCUACGAAAUAGGUGCCAUAGGAAGAUUUCCCAUGAAAUCUUUUGUGCAAUGCUUCUUGGCUUUUCCCCCUGUCUGUAUAUAUUGGAACUAACUUUAGCAUCUCAACCAUACGACCCUUUUUGAAAAAGAGAAAGUCAAUUGAGAGUUAAGCGAUGGAUUUGCUGAAGAGGGUUUUGUAAGGAUGAAAGAGGAGUUCCUUCCCAUGAAGGAUCAAACAACAUGCGUUCUUUACCGAAUUUUUCAAAUGCAAAGUAUUCGGCACCAUUAAACAGCAUUGAUUCAUUGAUGAUUCCUUUUCGGCUUUCGGGUGUUGGGCAGCAUUACAUGUUCUGAGGCUGGAAUGCAUAUGGUUUCACUCGCUCAAUUUGUCCCCCAGAUUAUUUUGGUUGUUACCGGAUUUUUAAAUUUCAGGAAAAUGAUUGUCUAAAGGUGGGGAACCAGGGCAGGUUUGUUUGUUUGGGGACAGCUGCUUUUACAGUUUGUUCUAAAUCCUCUCUGGGUUCCUGAUGUCUCAGUCUGACAGUUGGUCAGUCGGCGCAAAACGCAAUCAGUAUUAAUGCUUUGUCAGGUAAUUAUGUGUGUGUUUGCACACCUGCAUGUAUAAUUUGGGGAAAGCAUAUUUGCUCCGUUUGGUGAGUCACACGUUCGAGGUGAGUGUAUUUGGUUCUGCUUGAGGUUGUAGCUGUUGUGUUAAGCAUCCAGUGGGUGGAGUUCAUUUUAAUAAUUCUUUGGCUUGUCCUGCGAAGCAAACAGUUGAGUGAUUGGUGAGAAACGCUGUAGCUGCCAAAGUUCUGAAAAUGCCAAAGAGAAGGACACUAAAAGUACAUUGAGCUCCAAGCAAGGAAUGUACUAAACCUCUGCCUCCGCUGCAGAUGGGCACUGGUUUUAUGUCACUUUACCCAAAGAAUCCUGGGAAUUGUGGUUUGCUAAGGCGUUGAGAUUUGUCCGUUGAAACUCCCUCAUCUUUCCACCAAACGACAGAUCUCAAGGCUCUCUUAAAAAAUGGAAUGACCAUAAAACCAGUUGAAGUGUGGUGUGACAUACCCGACCACUUGACAACGUUUCUUCUUCAUUGUAACAUUCGUAGAAUAUAGAUCUUUGAGAAAUCCACUUGCACGUUUCUCUUGCCUGAACCCAAGAGAAUGGUCUUGUGCUCUUUUGUGUGGCUCCUGUUAUAUUUCAAUUUGGCCACUUGCUGAAGUGCAUUCUGGUAGAUCACCCUCCACAGGAAGCCAUCCGAUGUAGGUUUGCAGCACCGUAGAUGUCUAAUAAUAAAAGUGCUUGAAGAACUAGACCCAGUCUAUUCAGAAGUUAAGACCCAUUUAAUAGUGCAGUCCACGGUAUAUGUGUGUGUGGGGGUGGGGGGGGGGAGAAGUUCCAUGUGACCAGGAACAGCAAGUCUGGAGCCUUCUAACCCUAACCUAACUACAACACAGCCAUGCCACCUUCUAAGGCAGUGAUGGCGAACCUCUGGCAUGGGUGCCAGAGGUGGCACUCCGAGCCCUCUCUGUGGGCACACGCACACAGAGUUCA